rnacentral:rRNA from 1 species
GGGUGAGUAACGCGUAAACAACCUGCCCUACGGAUGGGGACAACAGUUGGAAACGACUGCUAAUACCGAAUACGCUCAUAGAGCCGCAUGACUUUAUGAGGAAAGGAUGGCCUCUAUAUUAUGCUAUCGCCGGAGGAGGGGUUUGCGUCUGAUUAGCUAGUUGGAGGGGUAACGGCCCACCAAGGCGACGAUCAGUAGCCGGUCUGAGAGGAUGAACGGCCACAUUGGAACUGAGACACGGUCCAGACUCC